AAUUAUUGGGCGUAAAGGGUGCGUAGGCUGUUAGAUAAGUCUAUAAUUUAAUUUCAGUGCUUAACGCUGUCUUGUUAUAGAAACUGUCUUGACUAGAGUGAGAUAGAGGCAAGCGGAAUUCCAUGUGUAGCGGUAAAAUGUGUAAAUAUAUGGAGGAACACCAGAAGCGUAGGCGGCUUGCUGGGUCUUUACUGACGCUGAGGCACGAAAGCGUGGGUAGCAAACAGGAUUAGAUACCCUGGUAGUCCACGCCGUAAACGAUGAGUACUAAGUGUCGGGGUAAAACUCGGUACUGAAGUUAACACAUUAAGUACUCCGCCUGAGUAGUACGUACGCAAGUAUGAAACUUAAAGGAAUUGACGGGACUCCGCACAAGCGGUGGAUCAUGUUGUUUAAUUCGAAGAUACACGA
rnacentral:rRNA from 1 species